rnacentral:rRNA from 1 species
UACGGGGGGUGCGAGCGUUAUCCGGAAUUAUUGGGCGUAAAGAGCUCGUAGGCGGUUUGUCGCGUCUGCCGUGAAAGUCCGGGGCUCAACUCCGGAUCUGCGGUGGGUACGGGCAGACUAGAGUGAUGUAGGGGAGACUGGAAUUCCUGGUGUAGCGGUGAAAUGCGCAGAUAUCAGGAGGAACACCGAUGGCGAAGGCAGGUCUCUGGGCAUUAACUGACGCUGAGGAGCGAAAGCAUGGGGAGCGAACAGG